UUAUGAGAGAUAGCUCAUAUAUUUGUAAGGGAUCCCAAAAUUCUAAUAGACAAGUAAGAGAUUAGGUCGAAUCGGUUUAUGAUUGUUAUCCUAAUAUGGUUAGAAUAUAUCUCUAAUUAGCUUUCCAAUUUAAAAGCGAGAUUAAUUCUAAUCCAAUUAGACAACAUAAUAACUGUCGGAUCGAACACGAUCAUGGGCGCACCCGAUUCGGUUUAAACGAAUGUCAACAUCUCCCACUCGCACAUGACGGGAUCGAUACCAUCAUAACCACUUCCUCAACAUUACAUCACUAUUGAUUCCAUUCAUAUA
rnacentral:lncRNA from 1 species